CCGCGCGCACGCGUGCGCCGCGUGCCCCGCGCGCUACUGCCACAAGCAGUCGCUCAACAAGCACCUGCGCAAGCGCCACGGGGUGAAAACAUCAUAAGAAAUUGGGAGGAAAGAAAUUUUGUGAAGUGGGUUAAAAUAUAUACUUGUUGAAAAACACACUAUGAACUAUAUGAACCUUUACUAUAGCUUAAGUCGAUAUUGAAUGUUUUGCAACUGUCUUACAGUGCCGUGCAUUUCAUAUAUGCACAAAUGCACUGCCUACCCUUAAAAUUUUAUAAAACUCAAACAGGAAGAGGACUUUUUCAUUUAAUACCGUUUUGCAUCUUUAUUCCUACGCUGGUCAAUACUCUUGGGCACGCCACUGCUGUCUUAGUUUGUUCAUAAUCAUCAUUACUUCAACCGUAUGACAUCCACUGCUGGUCGUAAGUCUUUUGUACGCAAGCAGUUUGUUUCACUCAACUCAACUCGCUUGGACUUUGAAAGUUGUUGAUGUUUCAAACACGAGUUUAACUGAUCUAUCUAGUCAUGAUGUAUCAAAGAAUAAAGUUAAUUUUAAACUCA